rnacentral:misc_RNA from 1 species
AAAGAAGGCACUCUUGGCAAAAGGCUUAUCUGAUCUACAUAUCCAAUCUCUGCAAAAUGCAUAAAGUUUGAUAGGUGAAAAUUCCUUUCUUAAAAGAAUGCAAAACAUACAACGGUAAAAAACCAUUUGUCAAUCUUGCCACCAAUCCAUAGCUACUACUUCUAUCAUACUAUCUAGAUAGCCAUGUACCUUCAGUUGGGG